UACGGGGGGGGCAAGCGUUGUUCGGAAUUACUGGGCGUAAAGGGCUCGUAGGCGGCCAACUAAGUCGGAUGUGAAAUCCCCAGGCUUAACCUGGGAACUGCAUCCGAUACUGGAUGGCUUGAAUCCGGGAGAGGGAUGCAGAAUUCCAGGUGUAGCGGUGAAAUGCGUAGAUAUCUGGAGGAACACCGGUGGUGUAGACGCUUCUGGACCGUAACUGACGCUGAGACACGAAAGCGUGGGUAGCAAACAGG
rnacentral:rRNA from 1 species